rnacentral:rRNA from 1 species
CAGCAGCCGCGGUAAUACGUAGGGUGCGAGCGUUAAUCGGAUUUACUGGGCGUAAAGCGUGCGCAGGCGGCCCGUUAAGACAGGUGUGAAAUCCCUGGGCUCAACCUAGGAAUUGCGCUUGUGACUUGCGGGCUCGAGUACGGUAGAGGGGGGUGGAAUUCCUGGUGUAGCAGUGAAAUGCGUAGAGAUCAGGAGGAACACCGAUGGCGAAGGCAGCCCCCUGGGCCUGUACUGACGCUCAUGCACGAAAGCGUGGGGAGCAAACAGGAUUAGAUACCCUGGUAGUCCACGCCCUAAACGAUGGGUACUAGCCGUUUGGUGCGCGAGAGCGCUGAGUGGCGAAGCUAACGCGAGAAGUACCCCGCCUGGGGAGUACGGCCGCAAGGUUGAAACUUAAAGGAAUUGGCAGG